rnacentral:lncRNA from 1 species
CCCUGAAGCGUGGCUGCCGUGCUGCAGCUGCAGCCUGUGGAGGGAGGGGUGGGGUGGGGAGGGGUGGGGGAACCUCUGGAAAAGUUCUGCCUUGAGAGAAGUUGGCGUUAGGACCCAGGAGGGAGGCUGCGGUGGUGGAGGAGGAGGAGGAGGAGGCCUGGCUCCUUCAGCCUUUUUGGAAAGCAAGACCCGGGCGAGGAGGAGAGAGAGCAAAGCCAGCCAGCCGCCUGAGAGGGAGAAAGACCCCCCCCCCGCCCCCAAGUCGCUCGGCUCUGAUUCAGCUGCCUCUGUAGCCCACCCCUCCCCAGAAUGAGGACUCUUCUGGCCCUUCUCCUCCUCUGCCUGCCAGCAGCUCUUCUGGCUCAGGGGCAGUAUGACCUCGAUGACCCUGCCUAUCCCGAGCCCCCGUACGCCCC